UAGGCCGGAUUAUGUGCUAUCGUUUGCAUUAGGUUGCUGCUCACUUUAAAAUGUUCAAUUACGCUUUUAAACACUUAAAAAUGAUUGAACAGAAAUAAUCAUUUUUCAGAGUUUCGGAGUAUAAUUGUAAUUUGUGCGCGUUGUUUAUCUUUUCGCUUCCCUUCAGCUGUCCAGGCGAAAACUGCAUCAUCAAGAUAAAGUUAUUCUGAAUUUCUGUGAAAUUAGCCCUACAUUUUCUUCUCGCUAUUAACUACGUAGAAUAUGGUGUUUGUAAUUAAAAAAGACAGGCUUUCUUUUCCCGCAAUUAUCUUAGUGAAUGUUAUUAGCUAUUCUCAUUCUUGCCAUUAGGUACACCAAAGCCUCUAAUUUCGCUUUCCUGAAACGUUCUCUACAUCUAUUGGAAACAGGAAAUGGAAGGCGAAUUCAUGCAGAACUAGCUAGAAACAAAUUACGCACCGAGAAAAAUUAUGUUUUCUAGUCAGUCGCUCCAGAUGCGAAGUUUCUUGUUGCUUAGUUGAAAACAAUCCAGGUUAAGGUGGUAGAAUUAGCAGGGAUCAAAAACAAUCAGAGUCGGGAGAUAAAGCGUUAUUACCUGCGGAUCGUUUUAAGAGAUUUUUGGAUAAAUCUUGCGUACUAAUUUAACAAUUCAGGCUACUUGCAUUUUAAAUACACCUAAAGUUAUGGACAUUUCAGAAAUACACUUUUAACAGGAAGUAUUGAUAGGAAAUUCCUAAUAGCGAAACCUAGAAAUAAGAAAAAUAAGUGAAUUGAAGCUUAUCUAUUUUAUUCAAAGUGCCCGAUUAUACAACUCUGCUUAGUGCUGAGUACAUCUAAAAAAAAAUCUAAAACGCCGUCGUUAAGAUUAUAAGCAAGUGGUUUGUCGCAGAAUAAAUUCUCAUUGUUUAGCGAACCACUCUAGCUCUUUUGUCUCCGAACCAGGAUCUAUUUCAAAUUCGACUUAAUACGAUUUGUAGUCUUGUAGUGGGCGCUUUUUGGUGCUGUAAAGUGUUCUUACGUCUAUUAUAAUAAACCCCUCAUACUGCACAACCCGCUGCCUUCGCCUCGAGCCAAGAAAUAACGAAAUUUUCACUGACGCACCAGCAUCUCUAGAUACCGUUUGUAAUAAUAAAAAAAUGAGAAAAAAAACAUCUACCAAACGCCUUCCCAGCUCACAAAAGUAAGUCAAAGUGAAAUUUUUGCAAUGAGAUAAAAAAAAUAGUAAACGUGCCAGAUUAAUAAAACAACAUAUUUAAGGCAGGAGAUAGGUUAGGGAAUCCUUCGUGGGAUUAUCGCGAAAUGAGCGAUUAAGGCAUUGCCCGUAGCUAGACAAAUCCUCUUUCUGACGUCAUCAGUAGGCAAAUGGAACACGUGUGCAUUAGCCGUUGCUUAUUCUGUCAACGCACCAAUUUUCCUCCGCAUUUCACGAUAAUGCCGCUAUAAACCCGCGCGAAGGGUGCCAUCUAGAUUUACUGAUGUCUGACAUUUGUGGACAAAUUGUUGACAUCGUUCGGGAGAUAAUUCCAGUCGUUACGAACCCGUGAGAGAUCCAAAACCCAAAAUAAGCGCUAUUAAUUCGAUUUCCAACAUAAAGUAGGCCAAAUGGACGAUUAAGUCAUACCUUAGCUCAGCUAUGACUUUAUACACUUUGAUUGUUAUUCUUGAAAAGUUAUAUAUAAUCCGUGUUUUUCCUAUUUCUGAAGUAUUUUGUAUCUCAAUAUUGUGAACACAACACACAAUAUCGCCUAAAGUGCGCACGGUAACGUUUCCUCGCCUCCUCGACAGCGGGGUUAACAACACGUCAGUCCCCCCUCUUGCUUCAGACUGACAGUUCCAGCUCUGUGGAGGAGGAAUCUGGGAGAGGGAAGACGGAGUCCAACAAAACAACAAUAACGACAACAGGUAGAUCAAGAGGAUCCUGAGCGGCACAGUGCAGCUAUUAAAGCCCAUGCAAACAGCAUCAGAUUAUUUUGAACAAACAUUGCAGUGAUAUAUCAAGCUUGAUUAACCAGUUGCCAGAAGUCUUUCUGUUUAACCCAUUGACUUCUAGCUAUUUUUAAGCUGAAUUUACAAAAAAAAAAAACAGACUGAAAAUGAUACCUCCCCCCUAUUCUGAGUUUUAUACAGCCCGUCAAAGUCAAACACAGCUGCACCUAGUCAGCGGUAUCCUAGCUUUCCAACAGUGCUUUGCGGUCCCCACUUUUAAUCUCUCGUCAUUGUGCUGAUGCGAGUACAAGUAGAUGGUUGCUUGUAUUUUCACAGGUAACCCAAGCACGCGGUUUGUAUUCUAGCACGCAAGAGAAUUUGUAUAGUGAUAAAAAAAUGCUUGGGUUACCUGUGGUAUUUUUCAUUAAAAAUACAGCUAUGAGAAUAUUGGGAGAGUGUCCUAGGACAUCAUGAAGUCUAUUGGGGUAUAAUUGAGUGUUGUGCUUAUGGAUAUUGGCAAGCAAAGGUGGAUUCAUGGUGAUUUUUUCUUGUUUUACUUUGCCUGGAUGAGAAAUUAUUUUUUUAACGAAUCACAACAGCUCUCCUAAGUGGUAUUAUUUGGCUUAAGAGUAGUUGCUAUCACCUUGUUUGGAUGCAUAUCUUCAAGACCAUUUAUCCCUUAGCCUGAUGCCUGAGUAUCUUCAUCUUUUGCAUUUAUGAUUUUUUGGGGAUGUGGGUACUUUUCAAGGCCGGUACAGGCCGGUUGAGGGGUCAAUGUGUUAAACACAAUGUGGUGAGGUGAUGUGCAACAUUGUCUUCUAGUGAGUAGUGAGGCUGCGCUUGCAAUGCCUUGUGGUACUUGUCCUAUUACACGUGGUUUAAGCAUAAAUCAAAUGGUGAUAAGAGUUAAAUACCUUUCCCAAAAUAAUAUCGUUGAUCUCUUUUACCGAGUUGUAUAAAGUUGUGAAGUCCAAGCAUUUUAUGACUUGACCCAUCACUAAUAGCAAUUAAAGAUAACCCUUUAAAUUUUUGGCUGUUCCCACAAUAGGAUUUGUAAGGAAUGUUAGUAUUUAGGAAUCAUCUCAAUUGAUAACCUUUCGUUGCAAUAGGUGGUGUGUUACUACUUUUUCUCAUAAAAUGCCUGGACUAUAUUUUUAUCUGAGGAUAAAACUAUAUUGACAGAAGAUCAGAUAUCUUUAUAUAAAUAGUUUCAUUACCGUCUAAUUGUUGCUUUAGUUAAAACUAUCGACACAGGCAGACAAAAGAAAAAAAAGCCUCGGCAAUUCAUAAUCGGGCACCAGCGUCCUUUGCGGGCGCUCAUCCCCUAAGGUCUCCUGCGAUUGUUUCGUGACUUAAGCUGGACAUGGGCACAGCUAAUGUAGCAUGGCUUCCAAAGCAAGGCAUUAUCGUUAGUGUUCUAAGAGUAAUAUUUUUAUCUAUGGAUCUUUUAAAUUUAUUAGAAGCUCAGCGCAGGUAGACAAUAUUAGACAAUCGCUAUUAUUAAAUAUCGCUACCUGUUUGCUGGAUCUUGUGGUUUAAUCGCACUUCUAUGUGAUCAGUGGGCAGUAUUGCCAUCAGCCAUUGAGGCGCCAGGCACAAGGCAUGAUUGCAGACAUCGAUACGCUAGCAGCUAAUGUACGUAAACAUGUCAGGGCCAAAGGAGCUCCUCUUUAACGCAGACGCCCUAUCAAACUUGAAAAUGUAGAGACUGGCUGCACAAACUCACUGCCAACUCUAAUGUUUUAACUUAGAUUGAUUUUUUAACGAGGUGUAUAAGUAAAAUGUCUAUCUACUCAGAUUCCCAUUCGUUCCUUCCGAAGUCGAAGCUCGAGUAAUAGAGUUCCAGUUCAGCAGUUCCCAUCUUUUAUGUAUCUAUCUAAGAAAAGACAAUGGACACCUUCGCAAAUUGUCUGAGUGCUCCAAUGUUUGUUUUCUGACCAAAAGCGACGUUUAAGGUAUUUUGCUCACGAAUACAAAAAAUGCAACCCGUCAUGAUGACAUUUUACUAAGUUCCCUAAAAGGAUCGAUAAGUUGUAAAAAAAGAGAUGUUUAUUAGAAUAGAGGUAUAAUAAGAAAGAUAAGCAGUUAUUUCUUUAUUGAUUUGUAGAAGCCAAUUAGUGUUAAGUUAAAUUGUACCCACUAAAUUCACUCGGACACAUAAAACGACAUAAGAACAUGUAUUAAUUCUAAGUCAUUAAUGUCUUUAAAUGCCACGGGGAUCUUCUCUUCAUUUUGCAAUAAUUCAUUUCCUCGCCCACGUUUAGAAUUAAAAUGGCUCAACGCCACGAGACUUGGUAUGUAGUUUGCUCUGUUUUACAGUGCUGACAAGAUCAAAAGAACAUUUUCAUGAAUUUGGGGGUAGUUUGUGUUUUGUAGUAAUAGAUAUUUAACUAAAGAAUACAAUAUAAUUUUUUUAGAUAUUAUAUUUAAGGAUCUGCAGCUUUAAUCCAAACUUGUAGGAAACUAUGGAUUCAAUGAUAUUUCAAAUCAAUUUUAGAAAUUGUAUAUAAUUACGAAAGAUGGUGCCGUCUUUCUUAUCUUGCCAGUAAAAUGGCUUACUUUUGGGAGUUUUAAAUGGGUGUAUUGGCUCUUACUACAUGAGAACAUCGGUAAUGUUCUCCUAAAUAACGUAUUUCAAGUAUUCCUAGACUUUAGGCUCGGCAGUGUCAUUGAAAGAUUGUUAUGAUCAAUAUAUACAAUAUCCCGUAUAAAUGUAUUUAAAAAUGAGAGCACAAGUAUUUAUAAGCAGUACAGGUAGCUUAUAUGUACAGAAAGAAGAGUAUUUUAUACAGAACUGAACAAUAUUCUUGUUAGUGAAGAAAAGGAAAAAUACAAUACUAAGGGAAACUAGCAGAGCUGCUGUAAGGUCGAGAGAGAAUGGGGCGGGGUGCGCAAUACUUUAUUGCGCAGGAUGGAAUUCGCCAUCCUGUCUGCGAGAUGCGGUUUGGAUGAAGAUGUGCGCGGGCGCCUAACUUCCAAAUCAACUCCCAAGUAAUGAUGUUGAUACUGUAUCUGUUAGGGUUUAUGUUUAACGUUAGCUUGACAAGCGCAAUCGUGGCCGAAUGGCUUGUCAUGCGAUAAACCACUUGAUUGACAACAAUUUGAUUGGCAAAAAUUUUACUUAGCCAAUCAGCUUGUAAACUAAAUACUUCAGUGCAUUUCAGGGUGUGAAAGAAACCGGUAUUUGUGCUGAGGGUGAAGGGUGCGAGAACAAGAAUUCUCGUUCCCUCACUGAUUUAUCAAAUAGCGUUUCUUGAUGGCCACGCAUCGCAUUGUCAGGGUAAACGUACCGUGAUAUCUAAAAACUCUAAUAAAAAUGUUUGUAUAUGAAAA